rnacentral:rRNA from 1 species
CCUACGUGUGGCAGCAGUGGGGAAUAUUGGGCAAUGGGCGCAAGCCUGACCCAGCAACGCCGCGUGAAGGAAGAAGGCUUUCGGGUUGUAAACUUCUUUUCUCAGGGACGAAGCAAGUGACGGUACCUGAGGAAUAAGCCACGGCUAACUACGUGCCAGCAGCUGCGGUAAUACGUAGGUGGCAAACGUUAUCAGGAUUUACUGGGUGUAAAGGGCGUGUAGGCGGGGACGCAAGUCAGAUGUGAAAACCACGGGCUCAACCUGUGGCCUGCAUUUGAGAAUGUGUUUCUUGAGUACUGGAGAGGCAGACGGAAUGCCUAGUGUAGCGGUGAAAUGCGUAGAUAUUAGGAGGAACACCAGUGGCGAAGGCGGUCUGCUGGACAGCAACUGACGCUGAGGCGCGAAAGCGUGGGGAGCAAACAGGAUUAGAUACCCUGGUAGUC